CCCUUAGAUGUUCUGGGCCGCACACGCGCUACACUGAAGGAGGCAGCGUGUACUCCUGGAUCGAAAGAUUUGGGUAACCCGCGAAUCUCCUUCGUGCUAGGGAUUGAGGUUUGCAAUUAUCCUUCAUGAACGAGGAAUUCCCGGUAAGUGCAAGUCAUAAGCUUGCGCUGACUACGUCCCUGCCCUUUGUACACACCGCCCGUCGCUACUACCGAUUGAAUGAUUUAGUGAGGACUUCGGACUGGGACCGAUGCGGCUUUCGGGCUGCGUCGGUAUUCUGGAAAGAUGUCCAAACUGUNUNAUUUAGNGGAAGUAAAANUCGUANCA
rnacentral:rRNA from 1 species